AUUGAACGCUGGCGGCAUGCCUUACACAUGCAAGUCGAACGGCAGCACGGGAGCAAUCCUGGUGGCGAGUGGCGAACGGGUGAGUAAUAUAUCGGAACGUGCCCAGUCGUGGGGGAUAACGCAGCGAAAGCUGUGCUAAUCCCGCAUACGCUCUAAGGCUGAAAGCGGGGGAUCGCAAGACCUCGCGCGAUUGGAGCGGCCGAUAUCAGAUUAGGUAGUUGGGGGGGUAAAGGCUCACCAAGCCGACGAUCUGUAGCAGGUCUGAGAGGACGACCAGGCACACUGGGACGGGGACACGGCCCAGACUCCUACGGGAGGCAGCAGCGGAGAAUUUUGGACAAUGGGCGAAAGCCUGAUCCGGCCAUGCCGCGUGCAGGAUGAAGGCCUUCGGGUUGGAAACUGCUGUUGUACGGAACGAAAAGGGUUGGCCUAAUAAGGUGAGCUCAUGACGGUACCGUAAGAAUAAGCACCGGCUAACUACGUGCCAGCCGCCGCAGUAA
rnacentral:rRNA from 1 species